rnacentral:rRNA from 1 species
GGAAGGAUCAUUACCGAGUGAGGGCCUCUGGGUCCAACCUCCCACCCGUGUUUAUUUUACCUUGUUGCUUCGGCGGGCCCGCCUUAACUGGCCGCCGGGGGGCUUACGCCCCCGGGCCCGCGCCCGCCGAAGACACCCUCGAACUCUGUCUGAAGAUUGAAGUCUGAGUGAAAAUAUAAAUUAUUUAAAACUUUCAACAACGGAUCUCUUGGUUCCGGCAUCGAUGAAGAACGCAGCGAAAUGCGAUACGUAAUGUGAAUUGCAAAUUCAGUGAAUCAUCGAGUCUUUGAACGCACAUUGCGCCCCCUGGUAUUCCGGGGGGCAUGCCUGUCCGAGCGUCAUUGCUGCCCUCAAGCCCGGCUUGUGUGUUGGGCCCCGUCCCCCGAUCUCCGGGGGACGGGCCCGAAAGGCAGCGGCGGCACCGCGUCCGGUCCUCGAGCGUAUGGGGCUUUGUCACCCGCUCUGUAGGCCCGGCCGGCGCUUGCCGAUCAACCCAAAUUUUUAUCCAGGUUGACCUCGGAUCAGGU